UGGGGAAUAUUGCACAAUGGGCGCAAGCCUGAUGCAGCCAUGCCGCGUGUAUGAAGAAUGCCUUCGGGUUGUAAAGUACUUUCAGCGAGGAGGAAGGCGUUGUGGUUAAUAACCGCAACGAUUGACGUUACUCGCAGAAGAAGCACCGGCUAACUCCGUGCCAGCAGCCGCGGUAAUACGGAGGGUGCAAGCGUUAAUCGGAAUUACUGGGCGUAAAGCGCACGCAGGCGGUCUGUCAAGUCGGAUGUGAAAUCCCCGGGCUCAACCUGGGAACUGCAUCCGAAACUGGCAGGCUAGAGUCUUGUAGAGGGGGGUAGAAUUCCAGGUGUAGCGGUGAAAUGCGUAGAGAUCUGGAGGAAUACCGGUGGCGAAGGCGGCCCCCUGGACAAAGACUGACGCUCAGGUGCGAAAGCGUGGGGAGCAAACA
rnacentral:rRNA from 1 species